rnacentral:lncRNA from 1 species
UGGUAUCUAGUCGCUUAUACAUAUCGUCAUAAGCCGCUAACUUAGCUUCUCUCACAGCUUUCUUCGCCUCUUGAUUCGCUCUUCUAUACCUUUCACUAUUUUCAUCGGUCCUAUCCUUGUAUAAGGCUUUACAACAUUCCUUCUUAGCCUUCACCUUUGUUUGUACCUCCUUAUUCCACCACCAAGAUUCCUUUUGGUGUGGAGCAAAGCCCUUGGACUCUCCUAAUACCUCUUUUGCUACUUUUCGAAUACAGCUAGCCAUGGAAUCCCACAUUUGGCUAGCUUCCCCCUCUCUAUCCCACACAUACUGGGUGAUUACUUGCUCUUUGAAAAUGACUUGUUUUUCUCCUCUUAGAUUCCACCAUCUAGUCUUUGGGCACUUCCAAGU